rnacentral:tRNA from 1 species
AAGGAAAUAGCUCAGAUGGUAGAGCACAGGACUUGCACACCUGAGAGUCCAGGUUUGGUUCUCUUU